UGCUGCUUGACCUGCGGCUGGGUGAGCAGGCGCAGGGUUCCCUUCUCUUGGCUUCCCGUCCCUUUGCGGUCAGGGUACCUGGGCAGGGCUCGGGGCAGCCUGGAAGCCAAUCAUUUCUCUCUUGCUCUGGAACUCUGUGUUCUGCCAGGGACACGGUUUGUGGGGCAUGCCUGUGGACUUCCACGCAGCUGGUGGGAUAAAUGAAGAUUUUGAGGCCAAAGGAGAAUUGCAGGGAAGAUAAAUCCUGAACACUUUUCAAACAUUUCAGAAUGCACACUCCCUUUGAAGAGUAAAAAAGGAUAUUUGUCGCCCUGGCUUGUCCCCAGACCUUCGGUGCAGGGGGUGGAAGCGGUUCCUGGAUGGCCUCUCCACCAGCCCGUGAUGGCGGGUUCCCCGAACAUUAUCAGCUUGGUGAAAUGACGGCUGCAGAGAGAAGGGAAGAAGAGUUGGCCUCCAACCAUGAAAUUGUCACUCACCCCCAAGAACAACUGAUAACAACAGCAGAUGAAAGGACCGAUUUUACAGUUUUACUUAUUAUACAUUAGUGGGCCUUGAGUCAAGGUAAAUAAAGUAGUAUAUGGAACCAUUUCUUUAUAAUAACCUAAAAAUAAUGAAAAAUAGUCUGUAGUGUGUUAAGAGGAAAGCUGAAAGAAGAAUAAAAGCUGUCAUGCAAUUGGGGGAGGAGAAUCAGAAGAUGGUGAAUUCAUAUACUAAAUCCCAGAAAACUAGAAAGGACACUCUGAAAUGUAAAAGAGGUAAUAUUAAAGAAACUGGCAAGCCAUGAGGCACCUA